rnacentral:miRNA from 1 species
UAGUAAGCAGAGAUUUGCUA